CCCAGGAUCCGAACCAGCAAAACCCUGGGCCACUGAAGCGGAGCGCACAAACUUAACCACUGGGCCACGGGGCCGGCCCCUGCCAGUCUGGCUUUUAAUCUACGUCCUGGGCAAUUGUUUUUUUGGUUUGAUGGCCGACAUCAAUCUCUUUAGUAGCAUUUGGGUUUCCUGUAGGGGAGUGGUUCUCAAACUGGUGUGUGUCGCUGUCACCUGGAGGGCUUGGUAAGACAGUUUCUGAUUCAGUAGGGGAGAGGGGCUGAAAUGUGCAUUUCUAACAAGUUCUCGGGUGAUGCUGAUGCUGCUGGUCCGGAGGCCACACUUCGAGAACCAUCCAGGUAAAGGGAUUACUUUCCUCACGUGUGUGAUGGUGUACCCUCCCUCCAUUUUAAAAGCUAAAAGCCAAAAUCCAGACAGCCCAAGUCCUUCCACUGGGGGAGCCGUGACCUUGGCUCAGCCAAUGGGGCUGAUCUUGUCAGAGGCUGGGGCAAAUGUUGUGAGGCUGAGUUGCAUUGGGAGGUUGUCAGGGGCAACAGCAGCCUCCUGUUGAUUGGGUGGUCCGUAUCAGCGUGGUGCCUGGAUUUCCGGUAGUUGGGCUCCCUUGGUUUUUACCACGUGUGGUCCGAGCCAGGUGUUCCAACCUCCCUCGAUUCUGAUCCUUCAAUAGCCUUACAGUAAAUCCCCUUCUGCUUAACUUAGCCAGAGUCCUUUCUGUUCCUUGCAGCCAAGAUCUCUGACUCAGCCUCUCCUCUGUACUGCCUCCGGCUCAUGCUCAAGUUAGCAGAGCUAAGGACUGGAGGCCUGAGUUCCCGUCUCCCAGGUGAGGGCUCUUCCCUCCACAUAUGCAGCCUCCACCUCUGAUCCACCACACAGCCCUGCUCAGAAAGGUGUUUGCAGUGGGAUGUUAAAUCUUUCUGAAAUAUGGUGGGGCAUCCUAAUAUAUGAAGCCAAACAGGAGGCAGUCAAUUAAAGUUUGCAGCCCUAAAGUGCUACACUUCCAUGACUCAUGUUCCUCUUAAAAAAAAGUGCAGCCCUUUCAGCAAUUGUAGGCAGUUUUAAAAAUGGUAGAACUCACACUCUGUUUUUAGAUACGUAUUGUCAGCUUUUCACUUGUUUUAGAAUUUCAGACCUUGUUGCUAUGGAUAGUGACUAGCUAUUAUAAAGAUCCUGGUGGCUGGGGAGCAGAGGGUCCCAAAGAAAGAUGCUCUUCUCUUCAAGUCGGUCCCUCCACUCUUCCCUGUACACCACCCCGCAGUCCCUAAGGAGGGGGCUGUGGAGGAAAAGGCGACAUCUCAACAGCAAGGACGGACAGAGGUGUGGCCAGUUCAUAGCCUUGGAGGGGGGCACGCACACAGAAGGGCUGUCUCUCCUCUUGUACGAGCUCUUGGCUCCUGCAUACCCCCAGAGUGCUAGAGUGGGAGGAAAAUGAGCUGUGGUCUCACCUCUUCCAGUUUUGGAGGUCGAAUUCUGAAACUGGUCUUGCAGGGCUAAAGUUAACGGCUGUGCACUUCUGGAGGCUCCAGGGGAGAAACCACUCCUUGCCUUUUCCAGCUUUUAGAGAAUGCUCGAGUUCCUUGGCUCCUGGGCACAUCACUCUGACCUCUGCUUCCAACAUCACGUCUUUUUUGACUCUGACCCUUCCUGUUAGAAGGACCCUUGUGAUUAUAUCAGGGGCACCUGGAUACCCCAGGAUACUCUGCUCAUCUGGAUCCUUCGCUUGGUCACAUCUGCAAAGUCCCUUCUGUCAUGGGAGGUAACAUAUUCCCAGGUCCCAGGGAUUAGGGCAUGGGCACCUGUGGGGCGUUUACCAUAAUACUCGUUUACACUGUUCAGCCCACAGUAAUACUCAUUUACGAAGCGUUAAUAAAAUACAGGUCAAAUAGAAGAAAAAUAUAACUUAUGGUUCGACUACUAAAAGAUAGACAUAAUGAACACUACAUAUUUAUAAUCAUGCUGUAUAUAUCAUUUGAAAUCCUGGUUUUUCACUAAAUAUUAUAAUCUAUUUUUUAUGUUCAUACAUAGCCUGAGCAAACAUUUUUAUUGACUACAUAAUAUUCCAUCGAGUGGAUAUACCAUAUUUUACUUAAGCCUUUCUUUAUUUUUGGAAAUUUAGGUUUUUAAUUAUAUAAUAUAAAUAACUCUGUAACAAAUAUUUUUGCUCAUAAGUAUUUUCGUGUUUGUGUUUGUUUUUCCUUGGGAUAGAUUCCCAGAUGUGGAAUUCCUGCAUCAAAGACUUUUUAUAGUAAACAUUUUUCAAAAGGUUUAUAUGAAUUUUCAAAACCACCAGACUCUGGGGAUGUUAGCUCAGGGUGAAUCUUUGUCAGCAAAAAAAUAAAAAUAAGUAAAUUUAAAAAAAAGAAAAAAGAAAAGAGUUAGGCAUUCAGAAGGAAAAAAGAAGAAAGUGAAAAUCAAUUGUAGCUUGUUACAGAAAGAGACCCAUUAGUGACGUUUAGGUAGCUCUUUCAGUAUUGCAAAUAUACAUUUAUAAAAACAAACUCUGGGGAUUAGGAUGUGGAUGUCUGUGGAGGAGUCAUUAUUCUGCUAACCACAGGCGUCAAGUCCCUCUUCUGCAAAAUGGGAAUAAUGGUCACUACUUCACAGGCAGCCAAGGAGAUGAAAGGCACUCGUAUCCCUGCAGAGGGCUUGAUGAACAGCACCGACCUGUGCAGCGGCUGCUCGUUGCUCAACUGGGUGGGCCAGCUAGGGAGAGAUGCAUGUGCUCAUGACUCAGUUGUACCACCCUAUGCUCCCUAUCCUUGUGGGUGUGUGUAUGUGUGUGUGCAUGUGUGUGUGUGCAUGCACAGGCAUUAGGGUGGGGAGAAUUUUCUAUGUAGCAGCUCCUUUGCUUCAGAAAGGCCCAGCAAAGCUAUGGACGAAUGUCUAAAAGAGUGGUUCAUAGCCCUCACUGUGCAUCAGAAGAGUGGUUCAUAACCCUCAGAAUCACCUCACAAGCUUUUAAAAAGCGCAGGUUCCCUGAGUUCCACUCCCCAGAGGUUCUGUUUCAGAGUCCAGGCUGGAGCCCAAGCAUCUUGUUUUGCCAAAGCUCUCUGGGUGAUUCUGAUAUAGUGGAGACCGCCGACCUAGGCCAACAUAUGGGCGUCCUGGGAAAAGAUGCCACCUCUGCGGAAAGCUGGGAUGGGCUGAUGGCAAAGGCAAGAGGUUUUGGUUAGGUGUCCUCAUAUAAAAGCCUAAGGGCUGUUACCGCUCCCUGCUGCCCUGUGCUCUGGCCCCGGUCUUAGCCCAAACAGAUUGUCCCAUGGGAGCUGGUGAAGGGGCUUUGGCCCUAACAGGACAGUCACGAGGGAUUGCUUCGUGCCAACAGACGCUCUUCCCUCAGGCCGUGGUGAGGGGGCCGUGCCUCCCAGCAGUGGUUUCUGGAGCCAUCUGGGCUCUGCAGGGGAUGCACAUCCUUCGGUGUCGCCUUCUGUUUCCAACGGGAGGGGCGGGUGGCAGAGGGGGUACAGGCAGAAUCCUCCCUGAGACAUGCCCCCUGUCUCCCAGGGAGGAGGGGGACCCAUAAGCAGCCUCCUGGGGCAGCAGCCAGAGCUGUGAGUUAGUCUUAGUUGGGCACAAGUGAGUGAGGCAACGAGAGGACACCUUUUUCCAGAACGCUGUUACUAGGGUGAGCAGCUUCCUUUGACCUGGGGAAAGAGGCCUCCUGUUUUCUGAUUUUGUUUCUAGACGUGAAGCAGUACCUUUAGCGGCUCCCAAGUGCCAUAGACUGCAUGGAAUUUUAAUCAAGGGAUUUGAAGACAGACUCUGGGUUCUGUCCUGCAGACAAUACUCCCUUCACCCACAAGCCCUACUCAUUUUUACAUAAGAACAAGGGAAUAUCUCUAUGUAGUGUGUGUUGUGUGUCAGGCACUGUGCUCACCACUGACACUACUUACACGCAUUUUCUUACUUAUGCCUCACAACAACCCUGGGAAGCAGGUGUUAUUAUUUUCCCAUUUUACAGACGAAGAUAGAGCAACCUAGUUUAGUUACGUCAUUUGCCCAGCAUUACAAAGCUGAUGAAUGGCGGGGUCAGGAUUCAAGUCCAGCCAUCUGAGUCCAGGUCUUGUUCUCCAACAGAUAGGGUGUGGUGAAGACUCGUUGGAGGUGGGUGGAGCAGGAGUGCCCUUUCUCGGGGACCUGGAGGAACAGGUUGACACGCGCACAGUGCCGUGUCUGUCUCUGCCCUCCAGCCCUGCCUGGACUCAGCCCACCGCACCCAGCGUCCAGGAGACCUCUGGGGACCUUGGCCCGCGAGUGGGGGGGGGGCCAGAAUUGCUACUUGGAGGCCUGAUAUUUCACAUGUCUGGGGCAGCCCUGGGUCUUCAGAGCCCACCGAGUCGAAGGAUCUCCUCCCAUUGCCACAUGACUUGUCCCUUAUCACUGAAAUCCUCCUCCUCCCUUUCCUAUUUACUCAGCACUCACCCCAUCAAAUUCUUCUGGGUGUGGACUUCCAGGCUGGCCUGGGAGUGCCACCCCGGAGUGAAUCAGCCUGCAAGAUUGGGACCUGAUUCUCUACCUGGUCCUCUCCAGGUUCCUUCCUUGGUGAGUUUGGUCCGAUUUUCUGGAUCCCCGGCCCUCGGCAGGGCAUUACUGAAUAGGCUCGCUGCCGAUUGCUGGAUUGGAUGUGGCUGGCCCUGUGGCCUUUAGUUCUUGGACGGCCCUGCUGACCCUUGCAGGUCUCUGUAGCUUGUGUUCCAGUCUCUGUCCUGCUGGGCCGCAGAAUGUUUUCCCUUCCUUCUGUAGGGGAAGCUGCUGAACUGAAGCCAAGAGAACACUGGCUGCCGAGUGAUUCUGCAGCAUGAACUAACCCAACUCUUCUGUAAUUUAGACAUUUUGCCCUGCAUUUUGCUCUCACCCUCCACGAUUUCUUAGAUGUGUGUAAAGGGGUGUCUGUGUGCGUGUCCAGAUAUGCUGUAUGAAUACAAAGCUCUGGCUCCUGGGGAGAGAAGAGCAGUAGCUUCUUUACUAUCUCGAUUCGGAAUCUGCAUACUAUAAUCCACACUGUCCCCAGGGGAUGCUUGCAUAGCUCUAAUGAGCAUUCCUGCAUGUCUCGAGGGACACCCACUAAAUGGCCAUAAAUUAAUUGGGAAUUUGGAUGUGGAGCUGUUUUGGACCAGAUGUGUCCACUUCAUAGUCACUUGCAGAUCCUAGAAGUCUCCUUAGACUUUACAGAUGGGGAAACCAAGGCCCAGAGAGGAGACCAGGCUGGGUUAACAUUACCAGGGCCUGACUGCAGCUUCGGUACCACUCGCUGGUUCUGGAAGCCAUUACCAGGGUGAGCAUUCAGCACACAGACUGGCUGACUCAACAGAGACGUUGCCUCCAGCCAUAGGUGUCCAGUGUGUUGCAUUCUUGAAGGCCCAGCAGACAGAGAUCCCUUGCUUUGCUUCCCAGAUCCACUGAGGGUGACUAGACUGGGAAAUAUGUGCUUAUCCUUAGUCCACGGUUGCCUGGUACUUGUGAAUGUGACCUUAUUUGGAAACAGGGCCUUUGCAGAUGUGGGCAAGUUAGAGAUCAGGAUCCAAUGUGAUCCACAGCCUUAUAAGAAGUGGGAAACACCGUGUGAAGACGGACACACAGGGGGAACGCCGUGUGAUGACAGAGGCAGAGAUCGGAGCGAUGCGGUUGCAGCCAAGUGAUGCCAAGGAUUGCUGCCCGCCACCAAAGCUGGGGAGAGACAAGGAAGAUUGAUUCUACCCAGAGUCUCAGAGGAAGCGUAUCCCUCCCACGCCUUGAUUUUGCACUUCCAGCCUUCAGAAGUGUGAGAGAAUAAAAUUCACUUGUUUUAAGCCACCCAGUUUAUGAUCUUUUGUAUGGCAGCCCUAGGAAGCCAAUACAGGGCCCAGCAUAGUGAGCCCUGCUCUGUAUGUGCCUGACGCCGAGGCUCACGGCCCUUGUAAGUUGGGCUACCCCAUCAUGGCCUUGAUGCAAUUGGAGAGGGAUGCUUUGUGUGGGCCUGGGGGAAGAAAGUUGGUGACAAUGCCCUGUGUGAAGGUCGCCCUCUCCUCCUUUCCUCUUUUCAUUUCCUUCCUCCCAUCUCCCUCCCAAUCUAAGCUCUAACCCAUGGAGCCCGAGCUCUUGGAAUCUUGAGGUUCAAGUGACGGAACGCAAGCUGACUGAUGCGGUCACACUCAAGGACUCUGCCUUCCAAAAGAGAGGCUUGUUGGUCCAGUUGUGUCUCCACUUGGGUGGGUAUUUGACACUGGAAAGGGGCAGGUGGGGAGGCUGAGUCAGAGUGAGGGCUUCCAGUUUCUCUGCAGCUUCAGGGCGCUGAGCCCUGGCUCUUAAUAUUAGCUCUCCUGGAACCGGCACUUUGCUUCCAGCCCACCCCUCUCCUAGCCCUUCUGUGGUGAACACUGUUCCCCAACAUUCCCAACCUGCCUCACCGCUUGUGUAAACUUUGUGAUUUGGGAGGGAAUGACCAACACCAAGAUCCAGGUCUAAACCGGUCAGGUGGUCCCACCCCCUUGCUGCAGUGAUUAGCACAGGUAGACCAGGUCUAAGCCAAUCAGCACGUGAGUCUCCCCUGACCACAGGGGACUUUUAUUUUAUAAUUGAAGGAGUUCAGCCUUCUUUCUCUGGCUGGAUAUGAACAAGGAAGCACAUACUCCUCAAUGCUAUUGGCAGCCAUCCUGUGACCAUGAGGAGAGACAACUUUAGAAUGAUAUUUUGGAUAAUAGAGGAAAGUCAGAAAGAUGCUGGGUCCUUGAUGACUUCAAGGAGCCACUGGAUCAAUCAACAUCCUGAAAUCUGUCCUAUCUCUGGAUUCCAAUUAAUGAGUCAAUACAGCUCCUUCAUUUUUCAAGCUAAUUUGAGGGUUUUUUCUAUUACUUAUUGUGGUGAUUUUAAAAUAGAGCUUUUUUUUCAUAUUCCUUGUUUAAUAGGUAGAAUCUAAUUCCCCUACCCUUGAGUGUUGGCUUGACUUAGUGAUUUGUUUCUAAUGAAUAAAGAAUGUGGCAGAAGGGACGGUGAGUGACUUCUGAGAUUGGGGUAUAAUGGUACUGUGGCUUCCCCCUUGUCUUCUCUAUGGGAUCACUGGUUCUGGGGGAAGUCAGCUGCCAUGUUGUGAGGAUGCUCAAGCAACUCUAUGAGGAGGUCCAUGUGGUGAGGAACUGAGGCCUUCUGCUAACAACCAACACUAACUUGCCAGAUAUGUGAGUGAGCCAUCUUGACAGUGGAUUCUCCAGCUCCAGUCAAGCCUUCAGAUGACUGCAACCCCAGCCACAUCUUGACUGCCACCUUGUGAGAGACUCUGACCACAACUGCUGAGCUAAGCCACACCUAAACUCCUAACCUCCAGAAACUGUGCAAUAAUAAAUGUUUAUUGUUUUAAGCCA